AUUGAACGCUGGCUGCAGGCCUAACACAUGCAAGUCGAACGAGUGGCGGACGGGUGUGUAAUGUCUGGGAAUCUGCCUGGUGGAGGGGGAUAACCACUCGACACUGUAGCUAAUACCGCAUACCAUCGGAUGUGCCCAGAUCGGAUUAGCUAGUUGGUGGGGUAAAGGCUCACCUAGGCCACGAUCUCUAGCUGGUCUGAGAGGACGACCAGCCACACUGGAACUGAGACACGGUCCAGACUCCGACGGGAGGCAGCAGUGGGGAAUAUUGCACAAUGGGCGCAAGCCUGAUACAGCCAUGCCGCGUGUAUGAAGAAGGCCUUCGGGUUGGAAAGUACUUUCAGUGGAGAGGCGUUACCCGCAGAAGAAGCACCGGCUAACUCCGUGCCAGCCGCCGCGGUAAUUC
rnacentral:rRNA from 1 species